rnacentral:lncRNA from 1 species
CUGCUUGAACUUCUCCUAUCGCCAAGGAUAUGUUAGACGCUUGCUGAGCUCUUUAUGCUCACCCCGUUGCUAUAUAAUUUUUUUCAGGGUAGCUUGUCACGCACUGAAAAGCUAGAAUUGGGUUAAAGCAGUGAAAGGCUAGAAGAUUUUUGAGCUAAUCUUUGUUAGAUGAUAGGUUUUUGUUGUAUAGUAUACUUUACUUCUGAUGUAAUGUUAAGGAAUCUGUUGAUACUUAUGUGUUGUAAAAGUUUAAAGGACCGCUCAUGUGUAUGGAAUGAUAAGUUUAAGUUGUAUAAGGAUAAGAACUCAUGGUAAAUAAUUAUUUUUUUUAUGAUUAUAUAUAUUUCUAUGAUUAUGGAUUUGUGUUGUGGUUGAUGUUUAGUUGAGUUGCCUUUAGAUUUUGUGAAUCUUUGAGUGAAGUGGAUUAUGAUUUAUGUAACUUACAGGUUUAUGAAUUAUGAAUAUUGACUUUUGAAUGAUUCUUAGUAUCCUCAAAUUGUUAGAUUGGAUCCUGGAUUGAAUUGAUGAUGAAUUAUAAUAUUAUUGAUUUUAGACAGGGUCACACCUCCUGAAUGUGAUAAUUCGGGGGGGUGUGACAGAGUUGGUAUCAGAGCAUGGUUUGAGGAUCACUGAAAUAUUUGAUAUGUUGACGGGCAAAAUAUAUUGAGGUCUAGUGAACUAUAGUGAUCGGUGGAAAUUUUCUUUGAUGCAUUUUAGGAAUUUAGGAUGAUGAGGACAUUUGGUCCUCCUAUUUCAUUUAUUUCUAAUUAAUUAAGGGGGAUGAAAGGGUUGAUCGAAGAUACUAAAUCAGAGUAGAGCAAUGAAAGCAUGGUAGACCUAAUUUCAUUGGUGGUAGAAAAAUGGAUGAUGCAAACGGAGAAUAUAUUUGAUGUACAAAAUUGUUCUGAUGGUCGAAAUAUUUCUUUUGCCAUCUUAUAUUGGAAGGAGAGGCUGAGCACUAGUGGCGAACCAUGAAGAGGAUUUCUGAAGCUCGAUAGGAGCCAAUCACUUGGAAGGUAUUUAUAGAAAAGUUCAAUGAUAAAUAUUUUCCAGAUUGUAUCAGAGAGCAGAAAGAAUUGGAGUUCUUGAAUCUCAUCUAGGGAAAUUUGACAGUAGCCAAAUAUGAGUCUAAAUUCACCGAGCUCUCUAGAUUUGCCACACAUAUGAUUGAUGAUGAAUAUAGGAAAGCAAGAAGAAUUGAAAGAGGAUUAAGGCUGACAAUAAGAAGCCGAAUAUCAGCUUUAAAACUCCAAGUAUACACUGAUGUAGUAGAAAGAGCUUUCAUACUUGAAAAAGACUUGGAGGAGAUCCAAGAAAUCAGGGACAAGAAUAGCAAGGAUAAGUUUGUUGGUAAAAGUAAGAGAGGAAAUGAAGCAGAAAGAAGUAACGAGAAGAUAAAGGUACCUAGAUUUGAGAAAGGAACCCCAUCGCAAAGAACUCUAUCCUGUACAAAAUGUGGACGUAAUCAUGAAACAAGUGAGUGUUUUCGGGUGACUGGAGCCUGUUUUGCCUGUGGAAAGUUAGAUCAUAAAGUCAGAGACUGCCCACUAAACAAGAAGAAAGAGCCACUACUCCUUAAGCCGACAGCUCAUGCUAGAGUAUAUGCUAUCACAGAACAAGAUUCCAGAGCCUCUAAAUCAGUGGUUGAAGGUAUUCUACAUGUUUCUAAUAGAAAUGCAAAAGUUUUGUUUGAUCCUGGCUCUAACUUGUCUUUUGUUUCACAAUAUUUUGCUUGUCACUUGGGCAUUCAACCUAAACCACUGGAUUAUUUGCUACACGUAACUACUGCUGUUGGGGUUUCCUUGACUACAAAUCUGGUUUAUCCUCAUCUUUUCGCCGAAAGAGGUAUGACAAAUUUAGAGGACUAAAUUUUAUUUCAAGGAGGGGAGAGUGUAACAUCCCCCAUUUUUGAAAAAUUAGUAAAAUAUUUGUUUGUAAAAAUAAGGAUUAUUUAAUAAUUAUUUUAUAUUAAAUAAUAUUAUAUUAAAGUUGAUGGCUAAGGACCUAAGAGUAAAUACUAAAAUUUUGAUAUGAUUUAUAGAAUAUUCAGAAUUGAGUAAAUAAAAAUAAAAUAAAAUAAAAUAGAGGACAUGUGUCAUUAACAAGGAUGAGCCACUUGCAUUUAUUCUAAAGUUGAUUCCUAAACCCCCAUGAAUGCUUGCCACCUCACUAUUUUAGCAUGAGCCAAACCUAUGUAAUUUAAGACACCAUAAAAAAGAAAGUUUGCAGCCUACGUUAGUUUGAGGAGAAGAAGAAGAAGAGGAAACUUUGUUUGAGGUUUUGCAUCAACUCCCUAUAUUUGGGAAUCAAACUCAUCUAAGGCAAGGGUUCUAACCUCUUCCUACAGAAUUCCUAAUCUUUGUUUUCCUUUUAAUACUUCAUAAUUCAAAAGAUUUCAGCUUAGUACCAAACCAUUCUUUCCUUUUGAUACAAAGCCAUGAAUCUGAAAUUUUCGGUAAUCUGACUUCUAUACAUUGUUCUAGAUCUAACUUUUAGCACUAAACUUUGAUUUAGGCAAAGCCUAAUCCAUUUGAAAGUAGACUCAAAUAUCUUUAUUUUGACACUGAGAUUGAAUGAUUUGAAUUUUAAAUGCCAACUAAGACUUCUGUUUCCAUUAAUCCUACAAAUUCUGCAAAAUAGGGACUGAAAUUUCUGACAUUCUGUUACUAAAUUGCUCAUAACUCUCUAGUGAAAAUUCUGAAUUAUGCAAAACUUAGUUCUUUUGAAAUUAGAUUCUCCUAUCUUUCUUUUGAUAUGUAGUUUAGUAAUUUUGAAGUACGUUUUCCUUCUGAAACAUCUGUUUAAAUUGACUCUAUCAAUUAUGCAAAACAGAGAUGAUCAAUUCUGACCUUCUAUUAAUAAAUUGCUCAUAACUCUCUAGUGAAAAUUCUGACUUAUACAAAAUUAGUUCUUUGGAAACUAGAUUCACAUAUCUUUCUUUUGGCAUAUAAUUUAGAAAUUUUGAAGUAUGUUUUUCUUCUGAAACAUCUGUUUAAAUUGAUUCUAUCAAGUUUGCAAAAUAGGGAUGAUCAAUUCUGACCUUCCUUUACUCUAUUUGUUGUAACUUACUGUUAGGAACUAAAAAAAUUAUAAAUCUGAGUUCAUACGAAAAUAGAUUGAUACAGCUUUCCAAUGACAUCUAUUUUUAGUGAUUUGGAGCAUGCUUGGUCACUCAAAAAAUUCAGGAAAUGUACCAUUCAAAUUCUAUCAGAAUUGAAAACUUUGUUGGGUUUUGCCUAUUCAAUUUUCAUCCUAUUGGAAAUUUGAUUUCUGCUAAAUUCUUCUUCAAUUGAGCAUUAUACUAGUCCUUUGAAAUUCUUGUAUUGUUCAUCCUAAAGUUGUUAUAUAUCUGAAAUUUAUUAUGUAAUGCUUUGUAUGCAUUACCUUGUUUGAUAAAGGCACAUGCAUAUCUUCGUUGUUCCGUAUGUGCUUCUGAUAUGUACCAAUGUUAUUAUUCAUACUACCCUUUUUGUACUCUGGUGUCUUGUGGGAUAUUGUGAACCUUUGCAAUAAAUGGUAAAGGGAGUUAUGCUUAGAGCAUGCGAUUGCUCUGCCGACCUCAUUGACUUCACUCAGACGUGGGUGGAUGGAGCUCCCAAACGUGGGAGACUUAUGCUUGGUGGUCAUCCAGAAAUGGAUGAAUCACAUUAUGUAUGUGGUCCCACAGUGCCCUCUAUGUUUAUUGAUAUGAUAUCCAAAGCUUUAUUUAUGAGUUCAUAUUAUGCUUUGGAUAAAAAUGGAAUGCAUGCUACAUCAAAAAUGUCGUACAAGCUUGUGUUUAUUAUUCGGUUCACUUGUUAUACUUUGAAGUGUUUUGUUUGUCAUUAUCAUGCCUCCAAACACUCUUACGCCUUUGAUAUACGCCUAAAUGCUUCAUGUGCUAUUUGAUACAUGCCUAAAUAUUUUUUUUGCCAAUGAAAUGCUCCAAUUUUCCCUUCUCCUGUUGUUAUAUCUAAUGCUUAUUUUUGAAUGAGGUAAACCUUUGCGAUUUUAUAUCAAAUGAGAUAAUUUCAAAUGAACACUUGUAUUUCUACUUUUGUAUCUUGAUACUAAGCCUGCUUCAACUUCUUCUAUCGCUAUGGAUAUGUUAGACGUUUGCUGAGCUCUUUAUGCUCACCCCGUUGCUAUAUAAUUUUUUUCAAGGUAGCUUGUCACGCACUGAAAAGCUAGAAUUGGGUUAAAGCAGUGAAAGGCUAGAAGAUUUUUGAGCUAAUCUUUGUUGGAUGAUAGGUUUUUGUUGUAUAGUAUACUUUACUUCUGAUGUAAUGUUAAGGAAUCUGUUGAUACUUAUGUGUUGUAAAAGUUUAAAGGACCGCUCAUGUGUAUGGAAUGAUAAGUUUAAGUUGUAUAAGGAUAAGAACUCAUGGUAAAUAAUUAUCUUUUUUGUGAUUGUA